UGUCCCCAUCGUCUAGAGGCCCAGGACACCGGCUUUUCAAGCCGAGAACACGGGUUCGAAUCCCGUUGGGGGCAG
rnacentral:tRNA from 1 species